CCUACGGGAGGCAGCAGUGAGGAAUAUUGGGCAAUGGACGAAACUCUGACCCAGCCAUGCCGCGUGCAUGAUGACGGUCUUCUGAUUUUAAAGUUGCUUUUGUACGGAAGAAGACAGUGAUGCUACCUUAUGAAUAAGACUCUGCUAACAACGUGCCAGCAGCCGCGGUAAUACUGAGGAGGCGAGCGUUAUCCGGAUUCAUUGGGUUUAAAGGGUUCGUAGGCGGUCAGACAAGUCAGAGGUGAAAGCCCGGGGCUCAACCCUGGAACUGCCUCUGAUACUGCCCGGCUAGAGAGCAGGUGCGGUAAGCGGAAUGCAUAGUGUAGCGGUGAAAUGCGUAGAGAUCA
rnacentral:rRNA from 1 species